rnacentral:lncRNA from 1 species
CAGGUAUCCUUCUUGUCCUUGACAUUGAAGAUUCUGGAAGCCUUUGGUUAUUUCCUCAGUUCCCAGCCUAUCCACCCAUAUCUUUAUCUAAUGUUAUUUAUCAUUCCAGGUCAUUCCUCUUUCUAGAUUCUCUUAGGACAACAUUACCCUGGAUCUUGCAUUUCUUGCAUGCUCUGAUAAGGUUUUCCUCUCUGUUUUAACCCAGCUCAAGUGCCAUCUCUCCAGGAAGCUCCCUCUAAGUUCCUCCAUGAUCAAGGAAUCUAACAAAGUGCCCCCAAUGCUUUACUGCACUUUUCUUGCACCCAUUAUUUUUCACUUUGUAAAAAUACUUUGUAAACAUUUAUAAGAAUGUUUACUGCCAUGCAAAUUGUUUCAUUCCAUUCACAGUCUUAUUAAUCUUUUGGAGACAAUUUACAUACAGAAAAAGUGGAAAACAAGUACAAGUUGGGUUUUGUUCCCGUCUUUAGUGAAAGGUAGCCAAAGCCUUUUAUUAUCCCUGUACAACACCUGUUCUUCCUCCAUUCCCUUCCCUAGGCAGGUCCUCCUCCUCUGCACCAGAAAAGUGUCUUGAACAGGCACCCACAGAGCCCUUCCCACACCACAACUGACUUUUUUGGUAUGGUUCUCCCUUUCUCUUUCUCUCUCUUUGCUAGGACUUGAGUCCUGAAGAACAGAACUGAAUCUUAUUUGUUCAGCCUCCUUUAAUGGAGCCAGAUAAAUAGGAGAAAUUUAGUAUCAUGUUGAAUUUAACUGCAUGUGGGUUUCUGUCCACCAUUUCAGCAGUCACUGAGAUUCCAGCACAAAAUCCUGUGAUGUGAGCUGGAGUAAUCCCACUCUUGUUCUGGGCAGAAAGUAAUGAGAGGUUCAAAAUAAACAAACCAACCAAAACCCGAUUAGGUUCCUCCCACUGGGACCAUCCCAUCAUAAGGAGGUCAGAC